GCGGUGGCAAUGAGACUGGGCGAUUUAUGGUUCAGCCUUCCAAGCUGAUGAUGCGGGUUCGAUUCCCGCCGCCCGCU
rnacentral:tRNA from 1 species